UAUCUGUGAUUAUCCUAUUUUGAAACUGAAUUUCUCCUGGAAAAAACGUAUAUGAAUCUGGCUUCUGAGAC